rnacentral:lncRNA from 1 species
CUUCUUCUUUUUCUCACUGAUUCCUUCGUGAUCGGUGCUGGAGUUUGCCAAUGGCGAAUUCGCACUUUGAAUUGCGAAGGAAACCGAUUCGAUGAUGAAGAUUCAGUGAUGAAUCUCUGAGAAUCGCGAAAGAUCUUGUUGAUUCUCUGUUGAUUUGUACUGAUUUGUGAUGUUUUGUGUUGAUUGGUGUUGAUUCUGGUGGAAUUUGGAAACGGUUAGGGUUUGAGUGUUCUUGGUGUUCUUCGUGAUUUCUGGAAAUUGUUGAGUUUUGAUCUUUGAGAGCAGAAAGAGAAAGUUGGAAAGUGUUUGUGAUGUGGCGUGUGAUGAAUGGAUUCU